GACGAACGCUGGCGGCGUGCUUAACACAUGCAAGUCGAACGACGAAGCCUAGCUUGCUAGGUGGAUUAGUGGCGAACGGGCGAGUAAUACGUGAGUAACCCACCUUUAACUCUGGGAUAAGCCUGGUAAACUGGGUCUAAUGCCGGAUACGACCAAUCUCCGCAUGGGGUGUUCGUGGAAACUGCUAUGUAGUGGUUAUAGAUGGGCUCACUGCCUACCAGCUUGUUGGUGAGGUAACGGCUCACCAAGGCGACGACGGGUAGCCGGCCUGAGAGGGUGAACAGACAUACUGGGAUAGAGACAGAGGCAAGACUGCUACGGGAGGCAGCAGUGGGGAAUGUUGCACAAUGGGAGCAAGCCUGAUGCAGCGACGCCGCGGGGGGGAUGACGGCCUUCGGGUUGUAAGCCUCUGUUAGCAGGAAUGACGAGACAUUCACAGUACCUGCAGAGAAAGCGCCGGCUAACUACGUG
rnacentral:rRNA from 1 species